rnacentral:rRNA from 1 species
UACAGAGGUCCCAAGCGUUGUUCGGAUUCACUGGGCGUAAAGGGUGCGUAGGCGGCCGGGUAAGUCUGAUGUGAAAUCCCGCAGCUUAACUGCGGAACUGCAUCGGAUACUCUCCGGCUAGAGGAAUGGAGGGGAGACUGGAAGUCUCGGUGUAGCAGUGAAAUGCGUAGAUAUGGGGAGGAACACCGGUGGCGAAGGCGGCCAUCUGGACGGUAACUGACGCUGAGACGCGAAAGCGUGGGUAGCAAACAGG